rnacentral:rRNA from 1 species
GAUGAACGCUGACAGAAUGCUUAACACAUGCAAGUCUUUGGCGAAGCUGUGCUCGCACAGCCUAGCCAAGGCGGACGGGUGAGUAACGCGUAAGGAACUUGCCCUGCAGUCAGGGAUAACAGACGGAAACGACUGAUAAGACCUGGUAAAGUCAGGCGGACUCAUAUCCAGCCUGAUGAAAAGAGAUGCUGCAGGAGAGCCUUGCGUCCUAUUAGCUUGUUGGUGGGGUAACGGCCCACCAAGGCGAUGAUAGGUAGCCGGCCUGAGAGGGUGGACGGCCACCAGGGGACCGGGAUUCCGCCCUUACUCCUACCGGAGGCAGCCGGGGGGAAUAUUGGACCAUUGGGGCCACCCUGAACCAGCCAUUCUGUUUGCACGAUGAAGGUUUUCGGAUUGUAAAGUGCUUUCAGCAAGGAAGAAAAAAAUGACGGUACCUGCAGAAGAAGCGACGGCUAAAUACGUG